AAGCCAGUGAGAGAGCUAUUCACAGAUAAUAGUGAAAAGCAGGAAAAAUGAAGAGAUUAUUCAAUGUGCUCACAUUGGGAAGAGCAGCAAAGAGGCCUGGUGGGCAGAGGAACAGGAAGAAAAUGAGGCCCGAUGGCUGCCAGACCGUUUGGUGAGAUGUGUGGAGCAGAGGAAAACUGGACCUGAGACUAAAGGAGCCUAUGCAAGUCAGUUCGAGUGAGACCCAGUGAACCUGUGUUCCUAACCUCCUGAUGUCAUUGAUUCUGCGGUCCGAGAAAGGAAGGAAACUGUUGGUUCGAGAUUUCUAGUUUCUCAACAGGUUUCCACUUCUGGCAGACACAUCCAAGCAUCAGCUGACUACAACCUGCUCCAAAAGACUGUGAGCUCUGGACUUGCUGCUGAUGUGGGCCAGGCCAGCAGAUGUGAACACUCCCUGUAUCUUCAACAGAGUCUUUGAGCCAGAUGCUUCUGAUCAAUACCCCACUGCCCGAAUUCCCUCUUUGCUUUUGACUAGCAUUUCAGCCUUCUUGGGCCCCUGACAGCAAUGUCCCAAAGUCAUCUGGAAGUAGUUACAGAAAAGAGUAUGUUGUCCCUCGCUCCCUCAUUGAAAUGCUAAGUCAAAAGGAAACCCCCUUACAUAGGGGACAAAAUGGCAAUAGAUGCAAAUGUCACUGCCCUAGAAAACCCUGUCAGCUAAUGGCUCUUAGGACUUGUUCCCACACCUUUGAGCCUCUAAAAGGCAGGAUUUAUGAUUGGGUCCUGUUGUUGGUACCUCUAGAAAGCAGGAAUGAGAGACUAAAACCAGGGUCAUUUUAGAAAAGAGGGCCAGAAACAGAAUAUGGGAACCUCACCCCAUAACCUGUGCAGCUGGCUCACAUCACCCACACAGCAGGCCGUCAGGAAAAACAGAUAGCCACACAUGGCCCUGACUCUGGCAGGAAGAACAGAUACCCCGGGUUAAUCAACAGAGUUACAAAACAACUUUUAUGGGUACAUGUUGUGCCAAAGAUUAGCCUAUGGAAAUUCCCCAAGUUCCUCUAGACACCCCAACCAAUCAGCUUUGACCCCAUACCCUCAGCCUGUCCUUUGGUUUUAGUCUUUAUAAACCCCUUGCUUAUGAGGCUUGAGACCUUCUCUCCUGCAGCUGCUAUUUCAGUCUGUGUUACAAGGUUCCUGCCUAGGCUUGAAAUCAAUAAAGAAACCUUGUACUUGCA